rnacentral:rRNA from 1 species
GAUGAACGCUGGCGGCGUGCCUAAUACAUGCAAGUCGAGCGAACAGACGAGGAGCUUGCUCCUCUGACGUUAGCGGCGGACGUGUGAGUAACACGUGGAGAACCUACCUAUAAGACUGGGAUAACUUCGGGAAACCGGAGCUAAUACCGGAUAAUAUAUUGAACCGCAGGGUUCAAUAGUGAAAGACGGUUUUGCUGUCACUUAUAGAUGGAUCCGGGCGGCAUUAGCUAGUUGGUAAGGUAACGGCUUACCAAGGCGACGAUGCGUAGCCGACCUGAGAGGGUGUUCGGCCACAGUGGAACUGAGACGCGGUCCAGACUCCUACGGGAGGCAGCAGUAGGGAAUCUUCCGCAAUGGGCGAAAGCCUGACGGAGCAACGCCGCGUGAGUGAUGAAGGUCUUCGGAUCGUAAAACUCUGUUAUUAGGGAAGAACAAAUGUGUAAGUAACUAUGCACGUCUUGACGGUACCUAAUCAGAAAGCCACGGCUAACUACGUG